AUAUUAUUACCAUUUGCAUUCAAGCGUUAAGCGUUAAGCGAAAUUACGGUUUGUUUCCGGUUUUGAGAACAUGGGUUUGCCCAAUGAAAACUGUACGUUUGACAGGUCAAACUUGUACGUUUGACAUUUCAAUUUUCAAAACAACACUUCGCUGGGCGGGACUUACUGUAUAUUAAAAAUAAACCUCUGGAAGGUACGGUAUUGUUU